rnacentral:rRNA from 1 species
UACGAAGGGGGCCAGCGUUGCUCGGAAUCACUGGGCGUAAAGGGUGCGUAGGCGGGUCUUUAAGUCAGGGGUGAAAUCCUGGAGCUCAACUCCAGAACUGCCUUUGAUACUGAGAAGCUUGAGUCCGGGAGAGGUGAGUGGAACUGCGAGUGUAGAGGUGAAAUUCGUAGAUAUUCGCAAGAACACCAGUGGCGAAGGCGGCUCACUGGCCCGGUACUGACGCUGAGGUGCGAAAGCGUGGGGAGCAAACAGG